AAAACCUGUCGCCACUAAAAAACCAAGAUUUGAAAGAGAAAAAAAUAGGACACACUCAAAAGAUCAUGACACUGAAGCACCCAUCGCCAUGUUCUGUUGAAAAUAUCAUCACGACAGGGAAGCACCCGUCACCGUGUUUUAUUGAAAAUAUCAUCACGACUGUGAAGCACCCGUCGCCACCCCCAAACACCCAAUUACCACGACGGUGACAACCUUCUGUCGUCUUCCCUAAUUUCAAUUCGCGCUAAAACGCACUCACGCCCUUAGGUUUUAAAACUUUUUUCUCUUUUUCUUCAUAAACACACUCACGCCUUGGAGAUUGAUAACCGUCAAAGCAAAUUCUUCCUCUCUCAGCUACUCACGCCGACAAAACAACCACUAAGAAUCUUAACAGUUUAAGAAAGCAGAGCUGACCCAAAGGUUCUUGAGCAUCUUCCCAAAGCAACUGACCCAAAAUACUGAGUAUCAGGAAGUGUCUUGAUUCUACUGUUCAAGGUUUGGAAGAGAAGCAUAAUAGAAAGAAAGAAACGGCAUGUAACUUUUAGUUACUUUUUAAGCUCUGGUGUUGAUAUUAUGCUUAUGAGUUUAGCCAAGUCAUGAAUGGCUAUUAUUCUUAUGGUAUCUACUCUUUUGUGAAAUUACAUUUUGUAUUUAGCUAUUCACGGUGGUUAGCUAAAAGUUUUAUAAUAUAUGGUUGGUUACAAAAAAAAUUCAAGAUCUAUCUCUGUCCAAGUGCAUUUUUUUAGGGUACCAAGAAUAUUUACAAAAUUCAACCAAUUUAGUGUAUAUAUAUAU